UUUGAAUCUGGGCCCUCCUACGGAGUAGCCUUCGCAAUACUUUGCAAGGAAGACUUUGGCAUGUGGGGCUGCCAAGAAAGCUACUUUGAUGUCUCCCCUCUGGAAAGCUUCAGGGUAAUGGCUGAUGGACCCAAUUGGCCUGACAUUUUCUGGCUUGAAUUGCAAAACAUUUGUCAAGAAACGACCGAUGUAGGAAUUGUUAUUGCAGCCAACAGGUGCAUCGGUCCCUAAUAGAUAAUCGAUUUCGACUAUAGAUGGUUCAAUCUUUGGAACAGUCAUCCAUGAAGUAACAGCUGUACUAAAACAUGUCGUCACAACCACCGUGACAAACAACCAUGUUGCUAAGCACCAGCCAUGACAGAUUGCUUCUGAUAGAUUUUCCUGUAAAGGGAUAAUUUUGCGUCAAAAAAUUGUUACUAUAUAUCCUUAGAUUAGAAAGUCUUCUUUCAUUAAAAAGCCUUUUUUGAUUGGAGUGUAAUCAGUGAAACUUACUCUGAGCAAAUGAUAGAAUGGUAACAGCAAACCAAAGCAUGGGCCCGAUGUUACGAGGGAAUGGCCUUCUGAACUCUGGGUUGUUGUUAUUUGCAUGUUUCAGGAAGAACGGCUUCAGUCCAAUCCAUGGUAAUUUAAGGAUCCGUACAGUUUAUGAUUUUUAAGGAUGCACAGAGUCUGAGAUUGUGUGAUUGUCGUUAUUUUCAUCGGUUCGUUCUUCUGCUUCGUAUUUCUGUUCCUGCAUCCUUUGCAAGCUUGAAGAAGAGGCCAUUAGGAAUCCACUUUGUCUUCCCUUGGCAUCUGAUGGUGCUGUGUUUGAACUCCCAAGUUCCUACGGACUCAAUUCCGAUUAACUUCGAAACUGGUACCAUAAAAAUUUUGAAACAUCAGCAUUAGGGAGUUGAAGUUUUUUGGUAUAAAAAAGGAAGGAUAAAAUCUAGUUGUUAAAUUUUUUUUUUUUGUUUGGGGGCCUUAGCCAAUAGCCAUUGCACCAUAUUUCGUUUCUUUGGGAUUUAAAAUUUCUCAAUUUUUUUUAACUCAUGUUUUUCUUUGUAUCGAUCUUUGUCGUUUUUUCCCCUUGUUGCCUUGAAUUAUGAUAAAAAAGAAAGAUGAAAUUCUAAUUAUUUGAAGGUCUCUGACCUUCGUACUAGAACUUGGUUGGUUGUGGGGUACUAGCACUUGAUGGUUUGUGGAUUGUGUUCUUUUGUUGCUUUUGUCAUUAAUUUUCGGAUCUGUGUUUCACGUUUAGGUUGAUAUUGUUUUUGCAGUAUGCUUUAAUUUAGAGGUCAUGCCAAAGAUCAAAUCUUAUCAUUAGGGUAUUCUAUUCUGAUGCCAAUUUUAUCACUGGCUUUGUUUUCCAAUGCCAAGACCGAGUUUUUAUUACUUGGAUAUAAUUUUGGCUCCUGCCAUGCUUACACUUCUGGCAUCCUUAGUUGUUUAGUAGGCUAUUUACUCUGGAAACCUCUCUACUUGGUCUUAUUUUAUGUAAUAUUACCUUUUCUUUCCGAGGAGGGUAACGUUUUUAUAUUGAAAUUUACUACACUUUGGUCAGUUCAAGGCCUAAUACUGUGCUUCCUUUCCCUUUGAUGCACAAAUUUGAUAACUUUUUUGGGUAACAUUGAAUUUUGAGUCUGCAAGGAAGUUUGAUAAGGAGCAGGAAGGAAAAUUAGCAGAAAGUUUAAAUCUUGAUGGGUCUAAGGGGGGGUGCUGCUUAAAACAUUUGGACCGACGAAUGGACUGGCGAAGUGUGGAAACAAAGAGCAAGUCUUGAAGGAUCUGAUUGGCGAACUAUCAACUGGAAGUUCUUGUUCGCAUCGCAUCCCGUCUUUCCUGACACUUAAAGAAGCUGCUAGAACAAGUAUUCUCUCAAAACGUUGGAUAGAUCUGUGGAUGCGCGUUCCUUGGCUUGAUUUUGAUGCUUCUGUAGUGUUAGACAAGUUGGCAGCCCUAGCUGAUACAUCAAACCAUAGCAGGUUCCGCAAAAGGGAAAGGUGCAAGUAUGUUUAAUGGGUAGACAAUGUACUGCAACCAUCCAAAGCCUUGACACUGGAUGAAUUUAGGGUUUUUUUUUUUUAAUUUGGACAAGUCUUCUCAAGUUGAGAUUGACAAAUGGAUUCAGGAUGCACUUGCAAGGAGAGAGCAAAGGCUAGAAUUGAACUUGUUAGAGAACGGCGAGAAUUUAUGUGUUCCCUCAAAUGGUUAUACGUUUUGGCUUGGAUCCCUCGGCCUGAGCAGUCAUCCUCAUGAAGUGGUUGAUUUUAAGCCACUCAAAACACUGAAAUUUGAUUAAUGUUUAUGUGACUAGGGAAGUUCUUGAA